GAGAAACUAUCAAUUAUGCAAUUAGUCCUUGUAUGCAGGACUCUUUUGUCCGACAUUCUAAAAAUACCUCACAUAUUCCAAUUUGACUAAAGGGAGAAGGAUUUUGUGAAACAGUCACCAACAAUGUAUCAUCCCACUGAUGUGGGGCCUCUUGCCAGUCACUCAUGGAAGACAGUAACUUGGUGCAGUGGAAAGCACGUGACUUUAGAGUCAAACAGAAUUGGGUUCUGCUAUGUUCUUGCUGAGAGACUUUGGGAAAGUUACACAACCUCUCUGAGUCCUGAUUUCCUCAACUGGUAAAUAGGGAUAAUAAUAAUGUCUAUGUCACAAGUUUGUUUUGAGGUCUAAAUUUGUUAUGCAAUGUAUAUAAAGCCUUAAAAAGUAUGAUAUUCAUUGAGUAUGUAUUAUGUGGCAUGCCAUGUUUAAGUGCUUUAUAAGCAUAGUAUGGACUCAUUUAGCCCCAUGAGUUAUAACUUUCAUUGUCUGUGCUUUAUAUAUGCAAAACUGAGACUUGAGAAGUUUGAGUAACCUGCCCAAAGUCCCAGAGCUGAUAAAUUGCAGACCUAGGAUUUGGACCCAGGCAGUCAGGUUCCAGCUCACGUGUACUUAACUACCAAGCCAUGAUGCCAUAUGGAGUAGGGCUGAAUAAAGAACAGCUAUUAUGACCAUAGUAAUUUAGUAUUAAGUGCUUUUUAUAUCUAUGGUGCUAAGUGUUAAUUAUUAGCAUAUUUGGAUGCAACAUCUAUCCUUUUUGUUCCUAUUUUUUCCACAGCCAUGGCAACAAAGAGCCUUGUGCUCACUACAGCAGAGCAUUCUGCCUUUGUCCGAUCCAGUCCGGUGCGUCAGUCUCUGCAAACAACAAAAGAUGUGGCCACUGACCGCCUGCCCCUGCCCCCAUCAGAGAACCAAGGGAAGCUGAGGCCUCUAUGACUGGAAGCAAGCUAGGAGAGCAGCAGACAGGUGAGUUCAUCCAUGCUUUUGGCUUCAAUUCUCAUCUCCUGGAGGAAGACUUCUAGGGAAGGCAUUAUGGUUGACUUCCUAACUUCAGUUCCACCCCAGAUGAUUACUAUACAGCCAAGAUGAUGCUGCAAGAUUAGGGCAGGAUAGAAACUAGAGGAGCCCAGCUCUUCUCCUGAGACCUUCUCUUCAGAAGUGACAGACCUGCCACCUUUAUCUGUGAGAAAAACAGAUGACUCUGGUUCAAUCACUCCUUCCUGAGACUUGGAGUAAAAUUCAUCUGAGGUGAAUUCACCUAAGGUGUAAAGAUAGACAAAGGAUCCAUGGAACAGAAGAAAGAGACCAAAAAUAGAAUCCUGCAAAUAUGGAAUGUGAUAAAUGUUGAAGAUAAAAUUGCAUGCCAAUGGAGGAGGAAUAGGUCUUACUCCCAAUAAACCUUUUGCCUUCCUGACUCCAUCUCAGCAUUCCUUCCCGGAAGAUUCAACUGCCACACUUGUCUUGGUAUGGCUGGAAGAAAGAGACUGAAGGAGAGAGGCCUAAAACCAGGCUGUAGAGGUAAGCAAAGCCAGAACACACAGGACUUGUUAGACCAUGCUAAGUAUUUUUUACUUUGCCAUUAGGGCAGUUGGAAGUCACUGCAUGUUUUUAAACAGACUGGGGAGGAGUGGGAAAAAUGAUCAAAUGUAAAUUUGAAAAAUUUGAAAAAUGAUCUAAAUGUAAAUUUAGAAAGACCACUCCAGCUGUUAUAUGUUAAAAAGGCUGGAGACUUGGGAGACUGAGGACAAGAAGAUCAAUAUGCAUGCUAUAACUGGAGUCUAAAAAGAGAAAAUAGUGGCUUGGACUAGGAUGAACCAGAGACAGUGAAGGUUUGAAAGAUAUUUAAAAAGUAGAAUCUCCAAAAUUUGGUGAUUUAUUGGAUGUGGGUGGUGUGGGAAAUGUAAAAGUCAAGGAUGCCCAGAUCUCUGGCUUGAGCUACUGUGUGGAAAGUGGUGCCAGAUGCUGAUACAGGGAAUCCUGUGGGAAACAAAUGUGAGAGUUCAACUUUGGACAUGCAGAGUUGGAGAUGCCCCUAGGAUAUCCAAGAGCACUAUAAAGAGUUGGAUAUAUUGUUCUGGAGUGUGAACAGAAAUUUAGGCUGGAGAAGUACAUUUGGGAGUCCUUAGCAUACAGAUGGAAGCAAAUGAGAUCAUCCAGGAGAGGUACAAUGUUUUGAGAGAGACGUAAGAGAUUGACCUAGGAAACUCAGACAUAUAAGGUUCUGGAAAGGGACAAGAGGUUAACAAAUGAGACUUAGGCCAGGGAAUAUGGAGUCACAGAAACUUUGAGAGGGUUUUUGAUAAGGAGGAGAUAUAAAUAUUACCUAGUGUCUAAGCAAGGUAAGGACUGAAACUAUUCUUUUGCCUUAGUGACAUGGAGGCCAUUGGUGAACUUAAUAAGAGAC